AUUCAGUUUACCUAAAGUAAUUAUUGAUCUUUCUUCCUAGAGUGGACAGAAUUUGGAUAAUCCUACCUUCUCCUAAAGCACUGGAUGCUGCUCAGAGGAUUUUGGGCACACCUGAACAUGUGGCUGGCCUGCUUUUCAAGAUAAAUUUUAGAACUUUUUGGUCUCUUUUUCCAUGAAAAGAAAACAUACUUGAAUUUUGAUGGAAUAUUGGUAUCAGUACAGAGAUAGCCCUUCAUCUUCAUGAAUUUUGAAAAAGUGGUCAUCUUUGUAAAGGGGAAUCUGGGAAUAAGCAACAUCAUUUCUCUGACCUACUUCGUUCACCUUCUCUUCCAGCUAUAAUUUUAGAAACCUCUGUAUUUGUCCAGG